GGUCUGGCGCGGCUGCCGGUGGACUCUUGUCUUUCCGUGCUGCCCGUGUAACGCAUGUGGUUCUCGGGGUAGCGCUCGGGGUUAGGUUUGGGCCGCGGAGCUCCGGCCGCCGUCCUGAAACGUAAUUGAGAAGGUGAGCCCGGGCGACCGGCCACAAUCCAUUCACUUUGACUACGACCUCAGAUCAGACGAGACAACCCGCUGAAUUUAAGCAUAUUACUAAGCGGAGGAAAAGAAACUAACAAGGAUUCCCUCAGAUGGGAAGUGCACACGGGUGA